CCACACACACACUCAGACACACACACAUUCUCACACACACAGACACACACACUCUCAGUCACCCUCUCACACACAUUCAGACACACACACUCUCAGAUACCCUCUCACACACACUCAGACACACACACACUCUCACACAUUCAGACACACACACUCUCAGACACCCUCUCACACACUUUCAGACACACACACACACGCGCUCACAUGCACACUUGACAUACAGACACACACAACACAGACACACACAGUCAGAUACAUACACCAGACACAGACACACACAUUCAGACACACACAGACAUGCACUCAGACACACUCAACACACACUCAGACAUACACACAGACACACACACACUUGACACACACACAUCCAGACACACACACACUCAACACAUUCACACACUCGACACAGACACAUUUGAUACACACACUUGACACACACUCGACACACAUUCAGACACACACAGACACACACACACACGACACACACACACAUUCAGACACACAC
rnacentral:lncRNA from 10 species